rnacentral:rRNA from 1 species
AUUGAACGCUGGCGGCAUGCUUUACACAUGCAAGUCGAACGGCAGCGCGGGCUUCGGCCUGGCGGCGAGUGGCGAACGGGUGAGUAAUGCAUCGGAACGUGCCCAGUAGUGGGGGAUAGCCCGGCGAAAGCCGGAUUAAUACCGCAUACGACCUGAGGGUGAAAGCGGGGGACCGAAAGGCCUCGCGCUAUUGGAGCGGCCGAUGUCGGAUUAGCUAGUUGGUGGGGUAAAGGCUUACCAAGGCGACGAUCCGUAGCUGGUCUGAGGACGACCAGCCACACUGGGACUGAGACACGGCCCAGACUCCUACGGGAGGCAGCAGUGGGGAAUUUUGGACAAUGGGGGCAACCCUGAUCCAGCCAUGCCGCGUGCGGGAAGAAGGCCUUCGGGUUGUAAAACGCUUUUGUUCGGGAAGAAAUCCUCUGGGCUAAUACCCCGGGGGGAUGACGGUACCGGAAGAAUAAGCACCGGCUAACUACGUG